rnacentral:rRNA from 1 species
CACGGUGGAUGCCCUGGCAGUCAGAGGCGAUGAAGGACGUGCUAAUCUGCGAUAAGCGCCGGUAAGGUGAUAUGAACCGUUAUAACCGGCGAUUUCCGAAUGGGGAAACCCAGUGUGAUUCGUCACACUAUCAUUAACUGAAUCCAUAGGUUAAUGAGGCGAACCGGGGGAACUGAAACAUCUAAGUACCCCGAGGAAAAGAAAUCAACCGAGAUUCCCCCAGUAGCGGCGAGCGAACGGGGAGGAGCCCAGAGCCUGAAUCAGCAUGUGUGUUAGUGGAAGCGUCUGGAAAGGCGCGCGAUACAGGGUGACAGCCCCGUACACAAAAGCGCAUGUGCUGUGAGCUCGAUGAGUAGGGCGGGACACGUGGUAUCCUGUCUGAAUAUGGGGGGACCAUCCUCCAAGGCUAAAUACUCCUGACUGACCGAUAGUGAACCAGUACCGUGAGGGAAAGGCGAAAAGAACCCCGGCGAGGGGAGUGAAAAAGAACCUGAAACCGUGUACGUACAAGCAGUGGGAGCCCCACCACCAAAGCGUUUCGCUUUGUGUGGUGCACAAAGAAGCGUAACGACAGCACUGAAUGACGGUUAACGGAGCGCAAGCGACGUUCAACAUACAAAGUCAAGCAGUGGAGCGCUUUG